GACGAACGCUGGCGGCGUGCUUAACACAUGCAAGUCGCGCAGGAUCCAACCGGUGGCAACACCGGGGAAGAUCUAGCGGCGAACGGGUGAGUAACACGUGAGCAACCUGCCCCGAAGACUGGGAGUAACACCGGGAACCGGUAGCUAAUACCGGAUGUCGUCAUUAGGCCGCAUGACCUGAUGAUGAAAGGAUUCAUCGCUUCGGGAGGGGCUCGCGGCUAUCAGCUUGUUGGUGGGGUAACGGCCGUACCAGGCGACGACGGCUAGCUGGUCUGAGAGGACGACCAGCCACACUGGGACUGAGACACGGCCCAGGACUCCUACGGGAGGCAGCAGGUGGGAAUCUUGCGCAAUGGGCGAAAGCCUGACGCAGCAACGCCGCGU
rnacentral:rRNA from 1 species